CUUUCUGUUUAGGUUCUUUUUGAUUCAGGGUUGUAUGAUAAUGGUUUGAGUUUAGCUCUUUAUAUUCCAAAUUUGAUUUAAAGGCUUUAUGAAUCCUGUUUCUUAUUCUUAAAUAGAGGUAUGAUUCAUUGAUUUUGACUUGGCAUGUCUAAUUGAAGCCAAGGGCUUGGGUGGCAUUUAUGAGAAAGAUGUGAGAAAGGCUCUUAACAGCAGAUCUCAGAAGCUGAGGUGAAAAGGGUCAUUGGCAUUCUCAUGGAGCUUUCCUAGGCUCGAAAGAUCUGUCAUGUGGUCUUGGAAUAGAGGUCCCAUAUUACAAAGACGAAGAUUAAUGGUUGAACAGAAGAUAUAUCCCAGAUAUAGCAUGCAUGUUCAAGAGCUCUCCCUUGUUUUAG